GGAUUACAGUCUGGACAGACCCCUUACCAAAUGAUUGUGUGCCAAGGACAAUUGCUCUGUGCUGGUCUUGCAGCGCGCCCGCGACAAUUUCCGAGGCAGAGGCAGAGCCGGCAUUUAUCAAUACUACAAUGGGCUGUCCAUCAGCUAAAUCUCCGGCUGUUGCAUUAUCCCGUUUUGAGUCAUUUGUGUUGCGUCCUCUUGUCGAUACGAUUUCACCUUUAUCAAGAAAAACAUCUGCAACGCCGAUGGCUUGAUCCAGAAGACCUCCGGGGUUAUUUC
rnacentral:ncRNA from 1 species